GGGGGAGGGCCCAAGCGGGGCGGGGCAGAGGCCGGUCCCGCCCCGCUGCGCGCACUCAGCCAGGCCCCACCCAGCGGCCCAGCCCGGGCGCCAGUAGCAGCCUGCCCCGCCCCAGAGGCAGAGCUUAUGUUUCAUGACCACGCCGUGGGGCGUGGCCCAGAGAGCUAUAGACCACGCCUCCUCUGCGCACUCGUCUGCUCCCUCCCUUCGGAUAAAGGUUUGUGGAACUGGGUGGAACCAUCUGCAGCUCAGGCGGGGAGUACGGGCUGUACCAUCAGAGGACCUUCGCGAUUCUGGGCCUCCCGGCUCUAGCCCUUCGUUCUGAGCGGCGCCUCGCAAUCAAGGUUCUGGAGCUGGGGUAGGCGCGAGGAGGUAGGCGUUCAUCUUUAAAGACCGAAGGACUGAGCGCUUGAGAUGUUUGCCCUGGGAUCUAACCAUGGAUGCAGUCUCCUGACUGACCGUGAAGUGACUGCGGUCUGACAUCUGGUCCGUUAGGACUCCAGGCCAAAAAAAAAAAAAAAAAAAAAAAAAAAAAAAAGAAAGAAAAAGAAAGAAAGAGACCUUUCCUUAGGAGGACUGGACAGUGUUGUCUCUAGUUGAAGCUCUGCCUAACCAGAUCAUCUGCAGCAGCGUACCCCGGGCCCCGUGGCUUCACUGAUCGAAGUAAAAGACAGAGCGAAAGAGGCCCUCAAUUUGCCUGGCUUGUCUAGGCAACAGUUUUAUGCAGUGGCCGCCUGAGUGUGUGAUCGGUGCUUCUCAUCCGUACACAGAUUAAAGCGGUUCUGAUGACCCCACACUCCUCAGGAGGAGCCUUGUACCCCAGGACUGUUGGCUGGAAGGGGCCUGAGGAAGCCGCAGCAUGUGUUUGGUAGGACACCCUCCUGUGUCCUCAAGGCUCCACAGACACCCCAAGGCAUCACUCUCUUUGUAGCUACAGUUCGGUUCACCACAGAACCCACGUGGAAGGAGAAAACCAACUACCAACACAUGUGUGGGGACCUCACAGAAAAAGAAAGACAUGGUAGCCCCUGACCACUAGGACUUCAGUGUGCAUAUCAGCCCAGUAAGUAUCAGAUGGACACAGGCCAUUCCAUGUCG
rnacentral:lncRNA from 1 species